CACUCUUUUUCCACUUUUCUCUCCCCCUUUCUCCCCCGAUCUCUCCCUCGAAACCCUAAACCCUAAACCCUCGUGCUUAGCAAUGGAGAUCUCGAAGAGAAAGAAGGAUAAAAUCUGUGAUAUAUGUGGCAAUAUUGGUUAUGCAGAACACAUUGUCACUUGCUAUCUGUGUAAGAAGGCUUCUGAACAUAUCUACUGCAUGCAGAAACAUAUCAAUGUGAUUCCAGUUGAAUGGUAUUGUGAGAGAUGCCAACUGAGUGCUAAACCAGUUCAUGAGACAGAGGUGGAAGAUAUGAAUAGAACCAAGACUAUCAAGCUGAUUAAUGAUGGCGAAAAUCAGCUAAUUGAAACUAGAAUGCCUCCACAUUCCCCGGAUAUUAACAAUGAGGGAAGGGUUCCUACCAAGCAUGCAAAAGUAAAGUUUAUUCCCACUGAAGAAGUUACUUUUCUAACUCGAGGAAAGCUGGUUGGUAGAAGGGACAAUUUAAGCCCAUCAUGCCUUGUCACAACUCCUCCCAAGUUAAAAAGGGCAUCAGCCAACAUGUCAACGGUACCAGUUUCAAAGUCCAUUAUGCUCAGCCCACCAAGUCCGGGCUCUAUGAAUGCUGAAGCAUGCAUUUCUCCAAAAAGUGCCUCUGUCGGACAUGCUGGCAAAAGCAGGGACCGGGAGAUGCAAAAGAACAAAUCUUCAGGUGGCGUUCUUUGUCCCAAUAUUCAAUCUAGAGGCCCUGACCGUGAUGUAUCGGAUCUGCCUGUAACAUUAAUUAUAAAUCCAAAGGAAAAGUUUCCUCACCCUGCCUUGGAAGCCUGUUGGAUGGGAACCUUUGAAUUCUUUGAGGUAGUACCUCAUAUUCAUAGUGGAAUUCAAGCCCAUUUCGCUAACCAAGUGUCGCUUAAAGCAUAUGAAGUUUUAAAGCAAAUGCCUAAGGAGUUAAAGCUUGAGAUACUUCCGCGUUUAGAUGCUUGGCCAAAGAUGUUCCAGUCAGAUCCGCCUGAUUAUAAUGACAUCGGAGUAUACUUCUUCUCACGUGGACUUGAGAGGCCUAAGGAGAAGUAUAUUCGUCUACUAGAACGUGUUUCUGCACGGGAUAUAGCUAUGAAGACAUAUAUAGAUACUGAUAUCCAGCUGCUGAUAUAUUCAUCCAAGGUACUUCCAGCACAUUGUCAAUUUAUAGAUGGACAAAUUUAUUUGUGGGGUGUAUUUAAAAAUCUAAAGAGACAGAAUCAGCGAAAACCGGAGCAAACCCCAUGUUGCAGUCCUGCUGAUACAUCAAUCGACAAGUGUAAUCAGUCAAUCACACCCAUUCGAGUCAAGUCUGAGGAAAUUGAUAUGGAUAUUGACAUGGUAGGAGGUAAUGACGUUGGGAUGGUUGAUAUGCCCAUUCAGAGGGUUGGUAAACCAAAGCCGACACUCGAUACUCCUCCUGGCUUUGCUUAUGAUGGUCCUCCAGGAUUUUCUAGACCAAUUUCAAAUGGCUUUGCUUAUGAUGGUCCUUCAGGAUUUUCUAGACCAAUUUCAAAUGGUGGUAAUAAAGAAAAGCAGCUAUUGGUGAAGUUUUCAUUGAAAAAUGUGAAAAAACCAGCAUUUACUGAGUUUCCACCUGGAUUUGUUGGAAUCCCAGUUUUGAAACAGCAAAGUGACACAGAUGCCUGGCCUAAGGGUGAAAACUUAUCUAACAAUAGCCCACCAUCUUCAACAAUUGGAGGAUAUUCAGGAACAGCACCAAAAGCAUGUGAAAGGCAACCAGAACAAGAUCAGGCACAGGGCAAAACGCACAAGUCUAUGGGACAUUCUAGAACGAGCUCUCCCUGCCCUUUGAUCGAAAAGAAGAGAGGAUUUAAUUCAGAAGAUCGACUGCUUGGUGAAACUAAACUACACGUCCCAAGUCUGAAGCUUGCAUCAUUGUCUGCCAAGGAGAGCACGAAACGCUCUUCUGAUGGCCCUUUAUUCAAAAGUUGCGGUAGGAAUGGUGCAGCAGCAUUGACUCGUACGCACAUGUCACAAAAGAAACAGGAAAGGGACUUCAAGAAGACAAAUCAUACAGGUGAAGGAGAUUGCCCUAAAACAAAACCAAUGGUUCGUCGAGUAUCUUUAGUCUCAAAGAAUCAUGGCAGUUCAUCUUCACUUGUAUCAGCAGGUCCAAAACCGAGAAACUUGAGACCUCAAAACAGAGUGAUGGGCUCGAAGAAAUGGGAUGUAACGGAAGAACAUGGAAUGAGAAGCAUGGGAAGCUGGAGAAAAUGGGACGAACCGAGUGAGAAACCGUCUCGUGUGUCUACUGCUUAUCAAAGCCCAUUUAGCAGUGGCCAAAGGGCAGUUCCACCUUCCCCUUGGCCAACAUGGGAAGAUCAUGCAAACAAAGUAAGCAAAGAGAAACAAGAUUUUCCUUCCGGUUCUGAGGCAUGGUAAUAUCUGAAUCAUGAAUUACUUAUAGGGUAGGGCUCAGGUAGUAUGGCUGUUAAAAAAUAGUUCCACUACUUUGAUCCGCUACCUGAAAACAAAUACUGAGAACAAGCUUUUUGAGGACAGCUUAGUGAAUGCACAAUCUACGUGGAGUAAAGUUGCAGUGUAGACAAUUGUUCACACUUCGACCUUGUUGAGCUUAUCAUCUAGGAGGCUGACGAAUCAUUGUGAGCUCAGGCCAUCUGGUUCAAAAGAGAGUAUUUAAGUCAGAGGAACAAGCGUAAAUUGAAGGAGACAGUAUCUUUGGGAAUGUUUUGUGGUGGGAUGUGCCGGUGAAUCUGAUAUCAUUUAGAUACAAACAAACUUCCAUUGCUGAUUUAUUGUUGUUGAUCAUCAUGUUAUUGAGGGACUCUCGAGAUUGAACUGCCUGAUGCAUGUAAUGCUUUAAAACGGCUUCUUUGGUGCAUUGAAGUAUCAUCAGAUCUCACUUGAUCAAGAGUUCUGGAAUUGCAUGAGAUCAUGCGACUAAAUUGUCGAUAAGACAUCAUCUAUUGAUCAUAAACAAAAUAGAGUAUGUUCAGAGAGUGCAGUUGUUGAUUUUGUGCUUAUUACUAACCAGUUGUUUCUGAAAUCUGAAAUGAUGUAGCCCUGCCAUAAGUAUGGUUCAAGUCAAACUUAAAACUUGGUCAGCUGAGUUCUGAGGUGUCAUCUCCACGAGGAAUGAUUGGCACUGACUUGAAAUCACCUAUUGAUAUCUAUAUCUAUGUCUACUG